UUCUUUGUUCCUCAAUGCUGUAAAUAGUACUUCACAAUUCAUGACUUCUUUAAUACUUCCCACAAACGCAAUGGAAACUUUCAUUUAUCAUUUUAUUUUAAGGCAACAGAAACUUUCAUAGUAGGAGAAAAGAAAAAAAGAAAGAAAAAAGGUGGUCAGAAGAUAGAAUACAAGCCCCAUAAAAAAAUAUAAUGUCUAAACUCCGUUGGGCCAUAACCUAUAUAUAUGUAUGUAUAUUCUAUACGAGAAACAUUUUGGCCUGAUUUUUCUCUCCUCUUUUUCUUACUCAUGUCUUUCUCUCUUACGAUGUAAUGUUUCUACAAGUAUGUUCCAAUUUUGUUAGUUAUAUAUGUAAUAGCUUAUUGAGGACAUGCAGAAGGCAAAGGAAGAGAUGGAAAAACUGAAAGGGGAGGCACAAGCCAACAAGGAUCACGUGCUACAGGUGGUUUGGAUUUUUUACUUAGAUUUAUUAUCUGAUAGUCUUAAGGAUUUAAAUAUUUUAUGAUAUUUUUUUACAGUACAAAGAAAUAACACAAGUGAAUGAAGUUGCAUUGAAGCAAAUUGAAUCUGCUCAUGACAACUUCAAGGUUGAGGCUGACAAACUAAAGAAGUCAUUGGAGGAUGAAAUUCACUUUCUCAAGGGAAGGGUUUCAGAACUUGAAAGUGAUCUUGUGUCAAAGUCCAUAGAAGUUACAUCUGCAAUUUUAGGGAAAGAAGAAGCUCUAUCUUCUUAUGAUAGGUUGAGCAAAGUGAAGUAUUGUUUAUUUAGAAAUGUGAAUGUGGGAUGCAUUGUAUGAUUUGAUUGCUAUUUGUAAUAAAUGCAUCGUUUUUUUUUUCCUGAUUGCAUUUUAUGUACUAUUCCUAUCAGCAUUAAGCUUAGAUGAGUUAUCAAUCACAGCAGGUUCUUGCAAUGGAAA